AAGGUGAAGCCGACAGCCAACUGUGGGAGCGUAGUGAAGGUGAAAUCGACAUACAAGCUGCUGCCAGGCGUGGAGGUGAACGAUGAGAUCUCCAAGGCCAAGGACUCUAUGACGGCCAUUUUCAAGGCCGCCGAGGCCUACCUUAUCGCCAACCCGGAUGCCUACAACUAAAUCAGUUGAGAGAGAUCAUAUAUGAUUUUUGCGUGCUUUCUUCCCGAUCUAAUAAAGCUUCUCCAACUUCCAAGUAGUGACAGCAAGAGAUCUGACCACGGUGUGGACUAGAGAAGUUUAAAAUGUUUGUAUUUGUAACAAUUAUCAAUGGGUGAUAUUGUUUGAUGAUGUUGCUGCUUGCUUGCGCACGUUCCUCUUGUUUUUGUACUGGAAUAAAAAGAAUUAUUUGAAACAUAUAAAGAGCUCAUAUAUGUAUUUUGAAUUGGAUAUUUAUGUUCCGAGAAGGUUUUAUUCUUGCCUUCUUUUUGAAAAGCAAGAUGGCCCCCACGUCUGCAUCAUAAGGAUGCAUGCAAUCAUAUAUUAUUAAUAAUGCAAAAUUCAGCAGCAACCGAACAACAUCAAUCGAUAAAUAAAGCAAAAAAUAAACCCUAAGGUUGUAUACCUCGCGAGAGUAGCUCACCAUAUAGCCACUAACCCUAUGUUACAAUAGACAUGAGAAACGGAAAAAAUACAUAACUCCUAGGCUAUGCCUUCAAGAAGGAAUCGUCACACAUGCGUCGAUGAUGGCCAGACCACCACAAGGUUGAACUUCGGAUUCUCAUCCCCAAAGCCAAGCUUCAAUCCACCACCUUCAGCAAUGAAACAACGCACGCAUCACAUAGCACGAUUAGAGACCGUGUGUUUCUGCGGAGUGCAUAAACUCGUCGUUGAAGUCGUCCAUACCAUCGCCCUUUUCCGUCUGCACACACCUCAAUAGCCGGAUACCUCUAGAGAAGACAAUGUAAGACAAAGACGUCCCAUACAAUCUGCAUCCCGCUACUAUCGCACCACCUUCCAUCCAACAGCAACAGACUAAGCAUGACACCCCCGCCAGAGCCACCAUGCAUCACCUGCCAGUAGCAUGCAUGACUUGAUGUCUCCGAAUAAGACAUCAUGUGUAGCAUCCAACGGUGGCUUCAACUGUCGGUAACUGGCACUACCCAACAACUCCGAAAGAGGCACAUGUGUCACCUGCCGAGCCACAUCAAACCCAAUUUGUUGAUGGAGGGGCCGUACGAUACCGCCACCAGUCGCAGAAAUGUUGUCACCACCUUGAUAUCCAGACUCCGAGUCGCCCACACGCCACAGGAGUCCGCCCUCGUUGAGAAAGAGGGGUUGUUGCCCCAAUUUCGAGCACUAUAGGGACCACCCAUAUUCGCGCCCGCCACGAUCCCGCAUCAGACGCCGGAGGAAGAUACGUCCGUCACUCAAAUAUAGGAAGAGAUUGUUUUAAUGUAUAAGCCAUUUUAUUUUUAUCGGCACCACAUUUGCCUCUCUUAGGGUAAUUUGGUUUCUUCGAUGGUAGCUUUGUUGACGACACGUCCUAUCCUCUCCUCAUGAGCUACUCGGAAUCUAUGGACGCGGCCACUACCCCCUGCUAUGCAUGCCUCACAGCCCCAACAGACGCCCGAUCCCGCCUAUAAUAUCUCAUCAACUUCCUCGACCGAAGACCCCACUCCAUGAGCCCUCUCUGCAAAGGCUACCCAGAUUUAACCCACAACCAUUGCCUAUGUACCAAGCUCCGACGGGCAAUGCCGGUGAGCCCGGGUAAACCCCGAACCUGCCUUCUCACCUAUUGGGUCUACGCACUCUGGCACAUGUUUCUUAAAUCCCACGCCUGCACAGACUGUCCACGGGACGCAAGCGCGCCAUAAUCGGAACACCGCCUUCACCACGUCCUCCAUUCCUGCGACCUAAGGACGAACCCGAGCCCAUGACCUUGUGCAUUGGCUUCGCCAUGCCACCACAUGUCUAACCAACCAAUCGUGCUACCCUGCCUUCAUGAAGUGAUGCUUGUGAGUGUUAGUGAAUUAUGCUAAUGCUAUUCGAGGCAUGUCCAUCAUACCCAUAAUUAUAUUUUUGUUGCAAGAGUUCAUCCAAAGUGUUUCCCCAAAAAAAGUGUUAGCUAGAGGAAAUAGAAUAAUUACUAGUUGACUACUUUGUCUAAGUUAAUGAUUUUUUUGUUCUUAUCAUCUUGUCCUAACAGGCUUGCAUAUUAAUGAGUGUCGCCUCUACAACUAUGCUAAGUUUUCGUGUGAAUAAAGCGUUGGGCUAUCGACACAUAUCGGGCAUAAGUGAAUCAAAAUAUUCUCAUUAUUUUGGUUUGUACAGUGAGUUCCAUAUGAUAUUGUAUCUUUCUUGAGUAUGAUCGAGAUGUAAUCUUGGGAAGUAGAUGAGUGUAUUUUACACUCACUUUUACCCAUGUUUAUAGUGGACAAUUUCAGACUUUCCAAAGAUAGUCACUUUGACUUGCCUAUUUGUGACAACAAAUUGGAAAGAUUGUAAAUCUCUUUGUUUCCUACAUAAAUUAACAUUUUUAGGUGAUGAAUCAAGUCAUAAAAUGGAAAUAAUACGCGCAAAGAUUAAUGCCAAUCAACCAAAGGCAUGUAACCUAACUCCAGAGGUGAAGACGACAUUCGGCAUGACCAUACGCUUGUACCAAUGCUCAUACGAUGCUCCACCGACUUCGUGAUGUCAGCACUGACAACUUCCGUGAAAGCACCCUAAGGUCGAUUCACAUAACAUAUAAACGGGAGAAAAAACCCUUCAACGUGGAGAGUCGCUCCAUUCAUCAAGUUCAUCCAUUCGCCACCGUGGUAACCAUUACCUUCUACAACAUUCAUCACCACUGCAUAGACAUUUCCACUGUCAUAGACUCCAUCUCAAUUAGCCAUUGUACUUGUACUCAAGAGUACAUUACAUUUGGUAGCUGGUUCCUCCGAAGUUUCCCUCGGGAUAGCAGGAGCAAGUUACGAGCUCUAUCAGGUAAAGCCAUUUAUUAAAGACAUUAGGAACGCAACUUCCUCAAUCUAUUCUCAAUCUUUAAACAGGUAGGACGAUGUGUCUGCUUCGGCUAGCUGUACCAUGGAACCGGGUGCUCGAAGUGGGCCAUUUUUUGUAAGCCGAACUAACGAUGAGAUGAAUCGGAAGCAGGAUUAUGGUUGCCAACUAUGAUAUCAUUGUUUGUGAUUUGUUCAUGAUGUGUGAGUAGUCCCGUCACGCUAAUGUCCAAGGCAUAGCCUCACAACCACUAUGUAUGUGUAUUAAGUGAUUGUGGAUUUACUUUAAGAUUUAACGUUAUUUCUCUGUGUUGCACAAUCAUGGCUUUGCAGGUACCCAAGAUAUCGAAGACCAGAAAAGGAGAGGUAAGGACAGAGAGGACUGGAAGGCUAUGCCGAAUGUUGCCGAUAGUAAGAUUAGUAUGGUAGUUAGAACCGAGUCUCUCGGGAUUUCCUUAAUAAUAGAGGUAACCCCAUGAGAUAGACAUGGCUUUGAUGGGCUAAGAGAAGUUCAAUGCGGUGGCAGUAUGUCGUCAUGUUAUUUGUAACUUUUUGUACAUGAAAUAUGAAUACAUUUUCUAUGUGCCUGCAAAGUUUCAUUACCAUAUGACAUGGGGGGAGCUCAGGACAGAAAAAAAAUAAAAUCUAUGUUCCGAAGUAAAAAAAAAAAUCUUUCUUAAAACUUUGAUUUUUGUUUUUCUUGUCUAGAGCUCUCCCGGUGUCAUACCGUCAAGAAAUUUUGGAGAUGCAUUGAAAACUUGUUCAUCUUUCAUGGAUUUAUAUUAUUUUUAAAUGUAUAUUAUUUUUAUUUUACUUUUCAUCCAAAGAAGCAGAUGAGCUCGAGCAUUAAAACUCGCUCCUUCCCCUGAUCAUUUCUUGAAUAAAACUCUUAAGUCCAUGUAAAAUGCAAGGUGCUAGUUAGUUUCUUCAAAAAUAAAUCAACUUUUAUUAAGCACCAAUUUUUGUUUUUAUAGCAGACGUGCCUAAAUAAACGCAUGCGCUUGGCUCCCUUGUAUCGCUCCCGGCUAAUCCCGGGGCCCUCCGGUGAUGGGGACGGCGGGGAUCUAGGCUGCAGCCCCACGGUCUGGAGGGACCGGCGACACGAGAUCGCCCUUCGUUCUUUGUCUUUCCCAACGGUUCGGCACUGCUCCGCUGCUUCGUGGGAAGGGCGGACCAGGAGGGGAUGUGGCCAUGGUUGACUGGUCGACGGUGCAUUCGGCGAGAUGUGAUCUGGCCGGUGCUACUGGCGAUGGUGGCCAUCUCCUCCAUUGGAGGUGGUCGGCCUAAGGCUAGAUGGUCACAUCUCGAGAUCCGUCGUCUAGUUCCAGCUGUGAGUUGGGAAGACACAGUUGCGGAUGAAAACCAAGCCGAUGGCAGGCGAUGACGGUGUUCUGUGUCGUUACCUUGAUGAAGGCAUCGUCGUGUAACUACUGUCAUCCCACUCGUGCUGCUCCGGGGGAAACCUAGGAUCUAGUCUUCCAGAUUGGACGAUGGCGGUAUUGCGGUGUCGUCUUCUCUCUUGGGAGCAUCGUUUGUGGAGCAAAGCUGGAAGACAGAGGCAGGAGGUGGUGCGGCUUCGUCUUGGACGAAGCUUUCGGUGGAGAUGUCAAGGCAUGCCUGGCCGAUAGGUGAUACGUACGCUCGAGGUCAUACCUGGUCAGCAGGUGUUUCGCACGACAGAUGUCCAGAAUCUUCAUGUGUGGACGGACGAGCGUGGGAUGGUGGCGCCGUUGGGCUCCGUGGUGGCGUCGACGGAUGGACGGACUUGCAACGAUGAAGCAGAUCUCUCUCCUGAAGAUGGAUCAACAGUUAGAUGAUUAUGGCGGCGUCUAAAACAUAUGCAUGUGGUGUACGCUUUAUGAAUGCUGCACUAGGUUCCGAUAUGUUAUGUGGAUGGAUUGACAAUGGCUCCUGUUUUAGAUAUGGGGAGUGAGAGCACUCCAUAUUGUCGAAUUUUGUAGGUGUGAGUGAUGGUUCGGAUGACUUGAUAUAUGUUUUUGUUAGAAACAUGUUAAAUAAUAAAUAAAGAUGGCCGUAUGCAUCAAUUUAUGCAGAGAACGGGAUUUUAACCUCCUUUUUCAAACAAAAAAAAUCUCUGUAAUCAGCCUUCAUUGUGCAUGAUCAAAGUUGAUAAAGCGUGAUAUAUAUACAAUGGUUUUGCUUAAAAGAAACAACAACGUGUGUUUUCCAGUACAUGCGGUGAGCAAAAUAUGAUUAUAAACGAAUGCAACCCAGCAUCUCAACUAGCUGAUUUAUGUGUAAUGAUACAUGUACAAGCUCACAGACAUUUGUUAAUGAGUAACACAGCUGGAUAAUUAUCAGCUACUAGUACUAGAGCAAUUUCCCCACGGGGACCGUGGUGCAAUUCUUCUCCUAACUAAAGAUUGACAAGCUCUUAAAAACAACACUAAAGAUUGACAAAAGCACGGGCUUUCAGACCCAGCAAUGAUAAAAGCUUAGCCGCCAUCCAAUUUGGAAAAGCUCUUUGGCGCCUUCACCACUCUCCACUCACCAGACCCAUUCGGGCCAAGCUUCACCAACCCCGCUUUCGAGAUCCUAUAUAUAGCGCUCACUUCUGCUCUCUAGAAAACCAAGCAGCUCUGCGCCAUUACAACAGUCAUAGUUCACAUCAUUUGUUGUACUUGUACUAGCUUGAUCAUCAUAGCAAUGGCCUCCACCAACAGCUGGACCCAUGAGAUUGAGUCGCCGGUCGCUGUCACGCCUCUUCCGUGCCGGCGUUAUGGACUGGCACACCUUGGCCCCCAAGCUCGCGCCAUAGAUCGUCACCAGCGCCCACCUUGUUGAGGGAGAAGGCGGCAUCGGUAGUGUCAGGCAGUUCAACUUCAUCUCAGGUAUAUAUGCAUCAUAUAUACAACUCAUAUCACCUACUGUCUGGUACCUAUGGUCAAACCAUAACACAUAGUUGAUCUUCCAGCCAUGCCCUUCAACCUCAUGAAGGAGAGGCUCGAGUUCAUUGACGUAGACAAGUGCGAGUGUAAGUCGACCCUCAUCGAGGGUGGUGGCAUCGACACGGCGAUCGAGACGGCCACAUCGCACAUCAAGGUGGAGCCGGCAGCCAACGGUGGGAGCGUAGUGAAUGUGGAAUCGACAUACAACCUGCUGCCGGGCGUGGAGGUGAAUGAUGAAAUCACCAAGGCCAAGGACUCUGUGAUGGCCAUUUUCAAGGCCGCCGAGGCCUACCUUAUCGCCAACCUGGAUGCCUACAACUAAAUCAGUCGAGAGGGAUUAUAUGUGAUUAUGCUUUCCCUAGUUUGACUUUUGCGUGCUUUCUUCCACAUCUAAUAAAGCUGCUCCAACCUCCAAGUAGUGACAACAAGAGAGCUGAACAUGGUGUGGACUUGAGAAGUUUAAAAUGUUUGUAUUUGUAACAACUAUCAAAGGGUGUUCUUCCUUGAUGUUGCUGCUUGCUUGCGCACGUUCCUCGUGAUUUUGUACUAGAAUAAAAGGAAGUAUCUGAAACACAAACAGAACUCGUAUAUAUAUUUUGAAUUGGAAGUUUGUGGGCUGAGAAGUUCUUAUGUUUGCUCGACUGAAGAUAAUUUCACUCGCUCUUUUCAAAUAGGAAGAGCUAUUUUUAAUGUACAAUCCAUUAUGUUUUUAUUUUUGGCAUCACAUUUGCCUCUAAUAGGUUUAUGCGGUUUCUUCAGAUGUAGCUUUUUUGACGAUUCGUCCUAUCCCCUCCCGUUGAGCUACUCGGAAUCUCCGUCCGCAGCCACGACCCCUGCUAUGCAUGCCUCAUAGUCCCAACAGCCACCCAAUCCUGCCAAUGAUAUGCCCUCAACUUCCUAAAACCCACUCCAUGAGCCCUCUCCGCUCAGGCUACUUGGAUUUAACCCACAACUGCCGCCUAUGUACCAAGCUCCGACGGCGAUUCCGGUGAGCCCAGGUAAACCCAGAACCUGCCUUCUCACCUAUUGAGGCUACAAACUCUGGCGCAUGUUUUUGAGAUGCCACGCCUUUCCAUACCGUACAUACACAGCCGCGAGCGCGGCAUACAUGAACACUGCCACGAUCACCAUUCCAAUGAGGUAAGCACCAACCUGGGCCCGGGACCUUGUGCAUUGGCUUUGCCAUGCCACCGCAUGUCUAACCGACCAAUCGCGCUACUAUGCGUUCAUGAAGCGAUUCUUGCGAGUGUUAGUGAAUUAAAUACCGUGCUCUUUGAGGCAUGCCCCUCAUAUCCAAAAUCAUAUUUUUAUUGCAAUAGUUCUUUUAAAGUGUUCCUGAGAAAAAAAACAUGUUAGCUAGACAAAAUAAAAUAAUUACUUGUUGACUACUUUGUACUAAAUUAUCUAUGUGCCUGCAAAGUUUCAUGACCAUAUUAUGACAUGGGGGAGCUCAGGACAGAAAAAAAAGUUAUCAUUUUUUUUGUCCCGAUCUCUCUUGACGUCAUAUCGUCAUAAAAUUUUGGAGACACAUAGAAAACUUUUCAUCUUUAUGGAUUUAUAUAUUAUUUUUUCAAAAUUUUCCUAUGUUAUUUAGAUUGUACUGUUCGCCCAUAGAAGCAGAUGAGCUCGACCACUGAAACUACCUCCUUCCCUAACCAUCUCUUGAAUAAAACUCUUAAUUCCAUGAGAAAUGCAAUUCGACUCGCGGGAGCAUGUGCUCCUGUCCAUGGAAAAUGAAUUUUGAUAUGUCAAGGAAAUCCUAACAAAAAUGUUAUGUUUUCUUUGUCACAUCCAAAUGCUACUCGGAAAUUUUUAGGCCAAAAGGUCAAGUAUUUUGGCAUCUGCAAAAUAAACAAAUUAAGCAUCAAUUGUUACCCCAAAAUAUCACAUUCAAUUUUUUUUCCACCGACGAAACACCACUGCUUCGUUUCGGAUGAAAAUUGUCAGACAUGCUUGAGACAGUAACACGAACAUCUAUAAAACACCUCUGCCUCAAAUCCAUGUACAAUGCAAGGUGCUAGUUAGUUGCUUGAAAAAUAAAAUAAAAUAAUUAAGCACCCGUUUUUGUUUUUAUAGCAGACGUGCCUAAAUAAACACAUGUCCUAUUGUACAAAUAAAAUAAGCAUCGGUUCUAUAAAAAAGAACCAAUUCAUUUCCACAGGCAUCUCUCUUCAGCCUGCAUUGUACAUGAUCAAAGAUGAUAAAGCGUGAUAUACAAUGGUUAACGUGUGUUUUGCCAGUACAUGCGGCGAGCAAACUAUGAUUACAAAGGAAUGUAAACAAAGAUGGUUGGAUGCCCAUUGAUGCACAGAACGAGGUUUUUAACCUUCUUUUCCAAAAAAAAUUCUCUGUAAUGAGCCCGUAUUGUGCAUGAUCAAAGUUGAUAAAGCGUGAUAUACAAUGGUUUUGCUUAAAAGAAACAACAACGUGUGUUUUCCAGUACAUGCGGUGAGCAAAAUAUGAUUAUAAACGAAUGCAACACAGCAUCUCAACUAGCUGAUUUAUGUGUAAUGAUACAUGUACACGCUUAUCACAGGCAUUUGUUAAUGGAUAAUGCAGCUGGCUAAUCACCAACCACUAGAAGAAUUUCCCCACGCGGAGAAAAGCUCAAGCUUUCACACCCAGCAAUGAUAAAAGGUUAGCCGACCGACGGUGCCAUCCAAUUUGGAAAAACUCAUGCCUGGCUUUGGAGCCUUCCCNNNNNNNNNNNNNNNNNNNNNNNNNNNNNNNNNNNNNNNNNNNNNNNNNNNNNNNNNNNNNNNNNNNNNNNNNNNNNNNNNNNNNNNNNNNNNNNNNNNNNNNNNNNNNNNNNNNNNNNNNNNNNNNNNNNNNNNGCUUUGGAGCCUUCCCCAGUCUCCACUGACCAGACGCAUCCGACUAAGCUUCACCUGAUAGAUCCCGUGGAUCUUAGGCUAGAUGUGUUCGAUAUGAAAUAGUAGAUUUAUUACCUUAUGGUGAACUCGAUGAGCUCUUUCGAGAGACCGUCGUGAGGUGGUGACGACGGUGGGGAAGCAGAGAGAGAUCCGGUAGCGGCGGUGAUGGACUUACCAUCGCUUCAGUGCUACCCUCUGGAUCGAAUUAGGGUUGAGAGUGGGGAACCAGUGGCGGCGGCGAACCUCGUGUCAUGUGCCAUGGUCCCCACCUCCUCUAUAUAGCACUGCGCGAUAGGGGGCCACCAGCCUUGUUUGGGAUGGACGCCCCCGAUCAGGGCGUGGGUCAAGGUUCCAAUGGGCCGUUGGGCCAUUGAAGAGAGAUCAACCUAACAUUCUCCCCCUCGAUCUCAUCAUAUGCUUUUAACUUUACUCGUUUCGCAACAGAUCAAUACAUAAGGCAUGUUUCAUCGUCACGGCUCAAUUGGCGAUGGAAUCAGACAACCACAAUGUACCUGUCUAUUUUGAGACAGAUUCUUUAACCUUGGGCCCUUUAUUGUCCGGAAAUUUUAGACUACGCCAUAAAACCCAUGUCGAUUGUGUGUUCUCCGAACACCCUGGGCGGUAAGCCUUUGAUAAGCAGAUCUGCAAACACUUGUUUGUUGCUUUUAUGCUUCAAGCAUUUUUCCACAAUUCCGGACUUUCUCCUUCACAACACGCAACUCUUUGUCAGUGUGUUUGGCAUCAACACUAGACUCGUUGUGACAGGAGAGAAAGAACUUAAAAUGUUAUCGUUGUUGUCAACCAUUAUCAACUCCGGGUACAGGUAGCCUUAACCAUUUUGCCUGUCCCUCAGCCUCAUAUCAAGCUAUAACAUAUCAUUGCAUCACAUUGAUGACAAUCGUUUCACUCAUUUGGAGAUUUUCCACACAAAACUCCGAGUAUGGAAGUUAGCGACGAUUGUGGAUUUCGCUAUACAUUUCACAAGUCCUGCCUUUGUACUCACAAUCUUUUGAGAGCACUUAUUUCUUUCAGCAUGAGGCCUAUAUCUUUGAUUCCAUUCCAUUAAUUUAUCUAUGGACUGGACAUUGCCAAAACAACCCGGAUAUAUACGUGAACUGUGUCAGGGUAAUAUCUUGAGCUUUCAACAACUGAAGCAUAUGGUACCAUAUUCGUUUACAAUCUUUUUUUAUUAACUUUUGAAACACCAUAGUUUCCAGUUCAAUUACCCUUGACUAUAAGAACAGGCGUAGGUUUUCUCGUAUGCAUACUUUAGAGAUCUUUCCUAGCAUGUCCAUGCGACAUUUCUAAUACCCCUUUUAUUCUUUUGAACUUUGAGGACAAGAACUUCUUCUCUCCUCCUACACUAGAACUGACAUCACCACUAGCAAGUAGGACGUCAUCCAGAUGCACAGGAAUUGGGAAACGAAUUUCCCAUUCUAUAACUUUGCAUGGAUGCAAUUGUCCUCUUAUUUUCUUUGCAAAAAUCUUUCGAUUUAAGUCAUGUUUUACACCUUUACAUAUUUCCUUUGGAGUCACAUUUGCCUUGUAGACCCUUCAUAAAGUCUAUGUUAGUGAAAUUCAAAUGAUGGAAUUUCACUAACAUAGACUUUAUAGUAGUCACAAGUGUCUGAUUUUCACAUUCCUAGAGACCAUCAAAAUCUCAGGUACUUGCACUUCUUUCAUAUGGGGUUGUCGUUGCUCUGUCAUUGCCAAGAGGCAAAUUAAUUCUAUAGUCACCCAUUUCCAAAAGGCAAUAGGUUUUACAGGGACCUGUAUCACAAGAUCCCUUGUAGAGCUUACAACAUGUGUUGUAUAGGUCAUACAACAUGCUCCCCCAGAUUACUCCAUCUUCACUAAAGAAAUGGCGUAUCUUUAAACUUUCUUCUUUAUGACACUUUAAGCACCAUUGUUGUAUUCCUUAGUCUGCUUUCAGAACUAUAAAAGAUCCGGAAAUACAACUGUUUCUUUUCUUUAGGGGUAUCAUAAUGACGGUAUUCUAAUGACUGUCGUACUCCCCUUGACAAUCACAUUCUUCAUUAAUGGAUCACUUUAGAUGCAUAAUGUGCAUCACAUCAUCUAAAGUACAGAGGAGUAAUGUGCAUCACAUCAUCUAAAGUACAGAGGAGUCAUGAAAUACACUACAAUGUAUUUCAUGUCUCUUUCUCCCCCUCGAAAUGUGGCUAGAACUUUUCUGCCACAAUUUCGAAACCCAUUAAUAGCUCUUGUGAAAUGAGGAAACUUCGAUUAUCUAGCUCAUUCAUCUUAUCACUUCAUGUAAAAUGAAGUUAUAAGUUAACUAGUAUGGGAGUACUUUUUCCUCAUUUUAUUUCAGAAACUCAACAGAGUUCUUUAUAAUUGUCACUUUUGCAAGUCACACUUGCAUAUCAUUCUUGUCUUUAGGUUCCUCUGUUACUUUUAUCCUUUCUGGAUUUAGUGAUUGCUUAAUGACUGUUACACAUAAGGUGUACGGUCGAUACUAGGAAGGCUUAAUAGCUACUCCAUACUUUUCUCCCAUAGUGGGACACAUUAAGUGCACAUGAGUCAUCAUAACUUUCUCCUGUCAUCCAGGAUAAGGCAUUUGUCAAAAUUUCUCCCGCCAUACACGGAUUGUUGACAUAAUACAAUGUCAACUUUACCCGGUUACGCAGGCAUUUUUCCCAGACUUUUCCCGCCAUGCGGGUAAUUCCCUGUAAGGGACAUAAAUGCCAUAGUUGGCUCUUUUGACUGCAUCAAAUUCAGAAAUAAAUCUGAAUUAUCUUUGACACACAUGUUUGAUCCGACGUUGGUCAAAUUAAACAUGCAUGUUGCUUGUUUCAUUUCAAUCAUGUUGACUGAAAAAAAGGAGACUUCAUCAUAGAGAGUACAUCAAAGACAUUCGUCAACCAAGACUCUCAAUGCUCUAUCUCUUUUCUUUUCUUGAAUUAAUAUCCAGGAGUUCUUUUCUUGUGAAGCCAUUCUUUAGAGAAAAUUUAUUCCCUCAAGUUAUGACCUUUCUUUUCCAUCUUUCGGGUCACUAGUAGCCAAAACAUUCGCUUUCAUGAGUGAAAGCUUGAAUAACUUUUAGUCUGAGAAAACUUAGUCAAUAAACAACGGUAAUGAGCAUAAAAAUAACCCUACGUUGGUCUGAUUAAAAUCAUGCACAUUAAACCUUUUAAAACUUUCUGGAAUAUUCUAAAUCACCGUGGUGGCAGAUUAGAAUAAAACAUCAUCCUUCUAAAUUAAUUCCAUAUCACCGUUGGGCAGAAAUGGAAAUAAUGCAUAUAACUCAUAAACAAUGUGAUGAUAGUAUUCUUAUUGAACAACUUUGCUAAGAAAUAAUCAUCAUCAUUAACCAUAUUGCAGCAGAAAUAGAAAUAUGCAUUUCUCUAUCUGUGCUCCAAAAAUUGAUCACUUUGAUACAAAAUUUAUCAGAGAUUUAAGCUUUAAACAUAAGAUGACUCACACAAUUAUAGUAUUGUUAUCAUCAACGUUGGUCAGAAAAUAACAAUAUCAUAUUUAACUUUAAAACAAACAUCAUUCUAUUGUCAUAGCGGACACUGUUUGAAUCUUAUUUCACCCACAAGGGAAAAACUUUGCUAAUAACAGUUCUUCCAAUUAAAUUUUCCCGUUGGUUCCAAUUUAAUUGGAGGACUAAACCUUUUUACUUUGCAGCGGAAAAAAGUGAAUAUAAAAAUUUAUGUACCUUUACAGAAAAAUAUUCUCUUAAAAUUAAAAAUUCAUGAACUUUAUAAUCCCUUUUACAAAAUCCAUGAACUUUUGUUUUUCUGAAAAUCUUUCUUUUAUUUUCAGAACCCUUUUAAUUUUCUUUUCAGAAAAAUCAUGUUACUAUUACAGAAAAAUAUUCUGUCAUAAUUAAAAAUCCAUGAACUUUAUAAUCCCUUUUAUAAAAUCCAUGAACUUUUCUUUUUCUGAAAAUCUUCUUUUAUUUUCAGAANNNNNNNNNNNNNNNNNNNNNNNNNNNNNNNNNNNNNNNNNNNNNNNNNNNNNNNNNNNNNNNNNNNNNNNNNNNNNNNNNNNNNNNNNNNNNNNNNNNNNNNNNNNNNNNNNNNNNNNNNNNNNNNNNNNNNNNNNNNNNNNNNNNNNNNNNNNNNNNNNNNNNNNNNNNNNNNNNNNNNNNNNNNNNNNUUUUCAGAAAAAUCAUCAUUGCUUUUACAAAAAUUUCGAACAUCUAUUUUCUACUUUCUAAACAAUAUUUCCGUUGAAAAAAAUGCAUAGAAAAUCAUUUUAAGUCUGCCUAAAACUAGACAGAAAAGUAAAACGUUCCUUUAAUGAAAAAGAAAAUAACCGGCAUGGGCCGGCCUGGCUGUCGCCCACGUGUGGCCUGGGCAGUGGCCUAACUUGGGUCGAGGCUUUCCUGGCCCGACGGCUCCUGUGCCUGGUCAGGGCAGGGCUGAACCGNNNNNNNNNNNNNNNNNNNNNNNNNNNNNNNNNNNNNNNNNNNNNNNNNNNNNNNNNNNNNNNNNNNNNNNNNNNNNNNNNNNNNNNNNNNNNNNNNNNNNNNNNNNNNNNNNNNNNNNNNNNNNNNNNNNNNNNNNNGACCCGCCACUCCCGCCACUUUGCCUCGGCCUCGCGCGGCGCCCCCUUGCGGCCCUUGGUGGCCUGGCUCCCUUCGGCCUGUGAGGCCCGCGCCGCUUAGGGUUUCGUCGUGGACCGUCGGAUUAGAUCCGACGGCCGGGCGCGUCUAUCACUGGGAUAAAAACUCUCUCCUCACCAGCGAAACCCUAACCUCUUUCAUUUCUCUCCCAACCCCGCCGCUCUCUUCUCUGUGGUUUUUCCACGAGCGCGUCGCGGUAGCAGGGCCUUGCACCGGCGGGUUCCUUCCCCGAUGAGGGGUUGCCUGUGGUGCCCCGACGCCGCGCCUCUCCCUCCCUUUGCGUUCCAUGGUGGCCAUGGCCUCCCUCGCGUCGGUGCAAUGCAUGCCCCGCCGAGGAGGUCCCUGAGCCCCGCGUCGCAGCUCACGCGCGGAGGCUUGUGCCCCACCGGAGGGUGUGGCGAUAGGCGCCGGUCGUGGCGGCCUAAGGCCCCGCGUCGGCCUUGUCUUCCUCUCGGGCCUUUGAUCCUGUGGCACUGUGGCCACCUUCUUCGCCGGUGGUGCGUUUCCCUUCGUGGAAGCGCACCGCCGUCGAAUGGCGUGCUCGUGGUGCCGUUUCUUUUCAUUUUCUUUAACAGGGAAAACUGCGGCAUCAUUCCCGUACCUUUGCCGGCGCGCGCGAGCACCUUCGCGGUGAACGCGCCACCAUCAAGGGAGCGGUGUUGAUGCCCUUUGCCAGCUCGUUCUUGGCCAUUAUCCCCUCCCCUUUGUUUUCUUUUUGUUGCCUUUUUCAGAUUGGAUCCGAUUCACUUCUUUGUUUUCAUGCUGGAUCUAGAUCCAUACUUUGCCUCCACAGAGGUAGGGUCUUCUUCCCCACACCUCGGCAUGCUGAUGCGUGUGUGGAUUGAGAGGAACAGGCGCGGCCUUGCGGCGGUGCUUCUUUGUCGGAGAGAACUCCGGUGAAGCUUUCUUUUCUUUGAUCUUUGCCCUUCUCGGGUUCAUAUCGGGGAGGGGGAAUCUUUACUUGUACUUCUUCAUCCGAAAACACAUCAAAAAGCCUCGUGGCUAUGAUACCAUUAAUAGAUCCCGUGGAUCUUAGGCUAGAUGUGUUCGGUAUGAAAUAGUAGAUUUAUUACCUUAUGGUGAACUCGAUGAGCUCCCUCCAGAGACCGUCGUGAGGUGGUGACGACGGUGGGGAAGCAGAGAGAGAUCCGGUAGCGGCGGUGAUGGACUUCCCAUCGCUUCAGUGCUACCCUCAGGAUCAGAUUAGGGUUGAGAGUGGGGAACCAGUGGCGGCGGCGAACCUCGUGUCAUGUGCCAUGGUCCCCACCUCCUCUAUAUAGAACUGCGCGACAGGGGCCCACCACCCUUGUUUGGGCUGAACACCCCUGAGCAGGGCGUGGGUCAAGGUUCCAAUGGGCCGUUGGACCCAUUGAACGAGAGAUCAACCUAACAUCACCAACCCCGACACCGAUUACAACUCACAUCCCUUAUACCGGUUGUGCUAGCUUGAUCAUCACAGCAAGCAAUGGCCUCCACCAACAGUUGGAUCCAUGAGAUUGAGUCGUCGGUCUCUGCAUCACGCCUCUUCUGUGCCGGUGUCAUGGACUGGCACACCCUGUUCCCCAAGCUCGUGCCACAAAUCGUCAGCGCCCUCCCUGUUGAGGGAGAAGGUGGCAUCAGCAGUGUCAUGCAGUUCAACUUCACCUCAGGUAUGCAUCGUAUAUACAACUCAUAUCACCUGCAGUCUGAUACACAUGGUCAAAGCAUAACACAUAGUUGAUCUUGAGCCAUGCCCUUCAACCUCAUGAAGGAGAGGCUCGAUUUCAUUGACGUGGACAACUGCCAGUGCAAGUCCAUCCUCAUCGAGGGUGGUGGCAUAGGCACGGCGAUUGAGACGGCCACCUCACAGAUCAAGGUGGAGCCGACAGCCAAUGGUGGGAGCAUAGUGAACGUGGAAUCGACAUACAAGCUACUGCCAGGCGUGGAGGUGAACGAUGAGAUCUCCGAGGCCAAGGACUCUGUGACGGACAUUUUCAAGGCCGCCGAGGCCUACCUUAUCGCCAACCCGGAUGCCUACAACUGAAUCAGUUGAGAGAGAUCAUAUAUGAUUAUACAUUCCCUUGUUUGAUUUUUGCGUGCUUUCUUU
rnacentral:lncRNA from 1 species